rnacentral:hammerhead_ribozyme from 1 species
AUCCAGCUGACGAGUCCCAAAUAAGACGAAAGGUGUGUUAAACUGGAU